CGUGCACUACCGUCUCCUCACUUCCACAUCACCAGGCGCAGCAGACCCGUCUAGGGCUCUCCCGCCGCCGUCCGACGCCGGGGCUCUCCGCCGCUGGGUUGUGGUGCUGUCGGCUUCGUUUCUCGAUGGAUAAUAGCGCCGGCCUCCUCCUUCCAGAUAUCGUCAUCCUGGCGGACCUGUCGUGUGCGUCGCCCGCUGCUUCACACACCAGCGCCGCCACCUUGCUGUCGUCCCGGCGAGCGUCUCGACAGCCGUCGGUUGCCUCUUCAUUCUGCCUCCGCGCCUGGUUGCCCAACGCCUUCCCCUCCUUCCGUGACGUCGUCUCCAAUAUUGCAAAGCCCAUCUACUCCAAAUGUCUGCUGAGCAUCUUCUUCAGUUAGCCAAAAUCAAUCGCUUGGUCUAGUUCCAGUUUGUGCUUACUAUCCAAUACUAAUUUCUAAGAGGCUACAUCUCAAGCAGGUCUGAAAUAAAGUUGUGAAGAAGCCAUCGUAAUAUCGUUUGUCGGGACCUACUUCAGG